CAUGGUGACAAGGAGAUGACUGGUGCUUGGACACAGGACAGAACACACGGCUGGGAAGCCCGAGGCAAUCCAAGCCGAUCAUAGGAGUGGCUAUUCCUCCAUCAACAAGAUGCCCCUUCCUGAUGGGAGGAGGUUUGGAGCCCAGGCCUAGAGAACGAGUCCGCACUCGUUGGCCAGGACGGGGCAGAUGUACUUUCCACAGCUUCCUCUGCAUGUUCUCUGUCCAGCAUCAAUAUUUCCAUGUUCGGGAUGAAACAGAGUUACCUAACAUUUAAAGGAAUGACUUUCUCCUUUCAAAACAAGGAGGAAUGUGCAGUAUCAAAUCUGGAUUCCAGAAACCCUGGCACAGGACGACCCUGUGUCCCAAACUUUCUUGCCAAGGUUCCAGUUUAUGCCCACGAGGCCCAGAGAAGGUUCCGGAUGUGGCGGCAGCUUUUGGCUCUGAAUGGUUUUGGCUGCAAGAACUACCCGGUGACUGAUUUACUCCUCGAUUUCGAGUCUUUUUUCCCCCCCUCCAUCAAAAUAAUUCUCCACGAAUCAUUUCCAUGUUUCCAAGGCAAAAAUAGAAAAAAACCAAAAGCUGUAAGUUUAAAAAAAAAAAAAAAAAAAGGCCUGCGAACAGGAAUGGAUUUGCUAUCCGACAUCCCUUUCAGGAAACCGUCAGGUAAAAUCAGGCAAUGUAAUGGGCAAUUUGGUCUCAACUUCCCCACCAGGAGAAACGCCUGCGCGCACAUGUACACACACAUCCAUUCCCAGGCGGGCCCCGCACCAGACCAUAAGCUUCUAGUGAGACCGAAUUCCUGUAGGAGGGCAGUUUCCUUUCUGCUAUACCAACAUAAUGCUUCAUUACACCAAGACACAGCACUCUCCGAGCUGCCAGGGAAGAAAAGAACGAAGCCUAAAAUUCACAGUAAACUUUAACGUGCUAAGCGUAAAUGCUAAGUGUAAAUACCUAAAAUGAAUGUGUUCUAUCAACCCUUUCCGGUUCUGUGUUUGAUUCUUCCCAUGGCCGAGGUGCAACUGGCCUCUCAAGAGGCCACUGGCUCAGUGUUCCCCGCAGGUGCCGUGACUGCCACACAAUCAAACCCCCCAUCACACUCUGAGUCAGGGGCGUGGGGUGGGCCUCGACUUUUGUUCUGUGGGCAUCGCCAGAAAGAACGUCAAGCACCUGUGGUCAGUAAAUCCAGUAAUUCAACUGGGUUGGAGAAGAUGCCGGGUGCUUGAUCAGAGGUAUCCAGUGGAACCUGCCCAGGGACUCAACAGUGGACGGUCCCCAAACCUCCUACCCUGGGCCAGGAGCUGACAAAAGGACCCAGCCCACCUUCAGCUUCCCCAGUUUGCAGGAUUAUUUUCAGGAGGAGGGAGAGGAGUCUAGUCAGCUCUUGGUCCAUCAUUCUCAGAAAGAGAAGUUAAAGAUCUCCAUUUCUAAGUAUCAUUUGCCUCUAACAAGAACCAAAUUGGCCAAAUCCAAACCAACUCUGUAGAGAGUAAGAAGCAUGAUGGAUUAUAAAAUAAUAAUUCACAAGUCCAGAGCACAAGCUGAGAGACAGCCAAGACAAAGAACAAAAGAUAAGUACAUCCCUCAUUUGCUGCCCCUAGAGUGACUAGUACAUCAUCUAACUUCCUACUCUGAAAAUGAUUCCGUACAAAAUAAUAUCAGUUAAUAAAUGAAGAAGGAAAAAAAGACAAGAAAAAUUCCCAUUUUGCAAACCUUAGAGAACUGAUUCAAGCAAAGGAUCGCCAAGGUUGUAGGUGAACAGAAUAUUGCCUGGUGUGCCAAAGGGAUGCUCCAUGGAUUACUCACUGAAAGAGACCAUAACUGUAGAGAGAACAGGUAGUGGAGCUUCUCACCAAGUGAUCCAAUCAAUAAGAAAGGUACAAUAUGUGACACAAUACGAAAUACACAGUAUCACCUAGAAAGUUUGCCUUCCCAAAAUAUUUAACCUGAAUCAAAUCAAAUUUUUAUACCUAACUUCUAGUUUACAAGAAACUGAGGAGCUAGAGGAACACAAAUGUCACCACAAGGCCACAGCCAAAUCCAGAAUGUGGGGUAUUUGUUAAGAUAACUGCUCUGGUCUCUCCAAAACCUUGAUGUCAUUUUUUAAAAAAGAGAUAAAAGAAAUAUGUCAAACAAGUGCAAUGCACAAUUCUAGUCCACUCUUUUGGCUGGUUCUGACUCUACAUCGGGAAUAAAAUCCAGACUAAGGUGAUUUUUGGAGUCAAUCUUGAAAUGGCAUCGAGAAUGGUGAGAAGCCCACCAUUUCCUCUUUCGACUCCAGAAGUGACUUGGAGAAGAAUGGCUUGUACGUAAUACCUGUCCCUCCAGUGUCCAUAACUUGCUGACCUAUGACUUUGGGAAAAUAAAAUACAGCACCUGUGAGAAUAAGGUUGAUUGGGAUCACCCGGCAAAAGUGAAGUCUCAGUGCUAGUAAUUCACAUGUUCACAAUAUUCAUGUAUUGAUCUACAAUAUGCCAGAUGCUGAGGCCUUAAGAGAUUGAGAGCUCUCACUGCCUGUUUCCUGGAACAUUCUCUGGGAAUCCUGAGCUGCCAUGUAAAAAGUCUGAAAGCCUUGAGACAGUCACUCUGAAGAGGCUAAGAGUUCCACUACGAGACCACAGCCUUCCAGCCCUCCCACCAAGGAGACAGUCGUGUGAUGCUGGUUGAUGCUCGUGGUGGAAAGCUCUCUGAAGCUCUGCUAGACAAGAUGGGGGACAUCCAAAGGGUGCCGGCAGAAGUCUGUAACUACCUCUAGAAGACAGCUGACGGUGGCAGCCCUGAGACUGGAAAUUACAUCUUGAUGAGCUGGGUCUUGGUCCCUGUCAACAGGCGUGGGGAAAGGCUGCUGGACAAGCCUCAAGAAUGAGGCGGCGAUGAAUUAUCACGCGGUGCUGAUUCUAACAUCAGAGAUGCCAAUAACACAACACUUGAGGCCCAACGGAGCUGCCAGGGAGCAGCAGAUGAAGCACCUGGAGCCCAGAGAGGGCAAGUCAGAUGUGAAAGGUCACACAGCUUGCGGGUGCCUGACAAAGACUGAACUGGGAUCCUUCAGACUCUAAAAUCCAAACUCAGGUCGUGAUCCUGGGAUCCUGGGAUCAAGUCCCACAUCCGGCUCCCCAUGCAAGGAGCCUGCUUCUCCCUCUGUCUGUGU